rnacentral:rRNA from 1 species
AUUGAACGCUGGCGGCAUGCCUUACACAUGCAAGUCGAACGGCAGCACGGGAGCAAUCCUGGUGGCGAGUGGCGAACGGGUGAGUAAUACAUCGGAACGUGCCCAGUAGUGGGGGAUAGCCCGGCGAAAGCCGGAUUAAUACCGCAUACGACCUACGGGUGAAAGCGGGGGAUCGCAAGACCUCGCGCUAUUGGAGCGGCCGAUGUCAGAUUAGGUAGUUGGUGAGGUAAAGGCUCACCAAGCCUUCGAUCUGUAGCUGGUCUGAGAGGACGACCAGCCACACUGGGACUGAGACACGGCCCAGACUCCUACGGGAGGCAGCAGUGGGGAAUUUUGGACAAUGGGCGCAAGCCUGAUCCAGCCAUGCCGCGUGCGGGAAGAAGGCCUUCGGGUUGUAAACCGCUUUUGUCAGGGAAGAAACGCUCUGGGCUAAUACCCCGGAGUAAUGACGGUACCUGAAGAAUAAGCACCGGCUAACUACGUGCCAGCAGCCGCGGUAAUACGUAGGGUGCAAGCGUUAAUCGGAAUUACUGGGCGUAAAGCGUGCGCAGGCGGUCAUGCAAGACAGAUGUGAAAUCCCCGGGCUUAACCUGGGAACUGCAUUUGUGACUGCAUGGCUUGAGUGCGGCAGAGGGGGAUGGAAUUCCGCGUGUAGCAGUGAAAUGCGUAGAUAUGCGGAGGAACACCGAUGGCG